AACGUAGGACACAAGCGUUAUCCGGAGUUACUGGGCGUAAAGGGCGUGUAGGCGGAGAUGUAAGUCUAUUCUGAAAGCUCCUGGCUAAACUGGGAGAGGCGAAUGGAGACUGCAUAUCUAGAGUGAGGAAGAGGAAAGUGGAAUUCCGCGUGUAGUGGUGAAAUGCGUAGAGAUGCGGAGGAACACCAGUGGCGAAGGCGGCUCACUGGACCGGCAUUGACGCUGAGGUGCGAAAGCGUGGGAGCAACAGGG
rnacentral:rRNA from 1 species